rnacentral:tRNA from 1 species
GGGCCUAUAGCUCAGCUGGUUAGAGCGCACGCCUGAUAAGCGUGAGGUCGGUGGUUCGAGUCCACU